UUUCCGUAGGUGAACCUGCGGAAGGUUCAUUAUUGUAUAACCGAGGUGCGAGGGUUGUCGAUGACCCGAAAGGUCGUGCACGCCCGAGUGCCCUCACAAACAUCGAUCUCACCCAUAUGUGAAUCACUGCGCGGGACCGCCUUUGGCCUGUUCGGGGGAGGGCUUACGAUUUUUCACAAACUUAGCUUGCAGUGAAGAAUGUAUUUUUGCUUGUGCGAGAACGCAAGCACUAAAAUUUUCAACAACGGAUCUCUCGGCUAUCGCAUAGAUGAAGAACGG
rnacentral:misc_RNA from 1 species